GCUUUUGGCGUGAUGGUAAGCGUUUGAUCCUAACAAGUGGUAUCAGAGUCAAGGUCAUGGGUUCGAUUCCCAAGAGUAAUAUGCU